GCACCCAUUAGUAAUCAACUUACACAACCAACUCCCCUCCUGCACUCACUUGUUCCUGGCUGUUGUGACCUUGUGUAACCCUCGAUGUUCUUCCGCUCCGUGCUCCGCACUUGUGUAGUUUCUAACAAUUCUUCCACAUAGCUCCUUACAUUCUCCCGCUCUGUGUUCCGCACUCGUGUAGUCUCUAACAAUUCUUCCGCAUAGCUCUCAAUGAUUCCCCCACCCCACAUUCCACGCUCGCAUAGCUUCUAACAAUUCUUACACAUACCCCUUAAUGUUCUUCUGCUCUGCACUCCACUGUGGAGCAGCUUCUGAUAUUCUUCCACCCCGAACUUUCCCCUAUAAGAACCCCCUUCGUACGACCUUUUCUUCUGAUUUCUUUUCUCUUUCUUUCCUUAAUCAAUUCGUAAUCUGUAAUUAGGAUAGUACCAAAUCGU
rnacentral:sRNA from 1 species